rnacentral:rRNA from 1 species
GUAUCCUGGCUCAGGAUGAACGCUAGCUACAGGCUUAACACAUGCAAGUCGAGGGGCAGCAUGGUCUUAGCUUGCUAAGGCCGAUGGCGACCGGCGCACGGGUGAGUAACGCGUAUCCAACCUGCCUUACACUCUUGGACAGCCUUCUGAAAGGGAGGUUAAUACAAGAUGUUAUCAUGAGUAAGCAUUUUCACAUGAUUAAAGGUUUACCGGUGUAAGAUGGGGAUGCGUUCCAUUAG